UGUGAAGUGCCUGAUUAAAGGACAAUCUUGAUGAGAUUGAAAAAGUGCUUUCCCCCCCCUGCACCUUCACAA
rnacentral:tRNA from 1 species